GCCACUUCCAGGUCCCACAUCAUGGUGCCUGGGUUGCACUCUCAGCUCCACUUCCUGAUCCAGCUUCCAGACAGACACACUCUGGGUGGCAGAGUGAUGACUUGAGUAGUGGGGUUCCUGUCAUUCCUGUCAACCCUGUGAGAGGUCUGGGUGACUACAGUGGUGGGGUUCCUGUCACUGUGGGAGGUCUGGGUGACUGCAGUAGUGGGGUUCCUGUCACUGUGGGAGGUGUGGGUGACGAACAGUGGGGUUCCUGUCACUGUGGGAGGUCCGAGUGAUGGAGCAGUGGGGUUCCUGUCACUGUGGGAGGUCCGAGUGAUGGAGCAGUGGGGUUCCUGUCACUGUGGGAGGUCCGAGUGAUGGAGCAGUGGGGUUCCUGUCACUGUGGGAGGUCCGAGUGAUGGAGCAGUGGGGUUCCUGUCACUGUGGGAGGUCCGAGUGAUGGAGCAGUGGGGUUCCUGUCACUGUGGGAGGUCCGAGUGAUGGAGCAGUGGGGUUCCUGUCACUGUGGGAGGUCCGAGUGAUGGAGCAGUGGGGUUCCUGUCACUGUGGGAGGUCUGGGUGAUGGAGCAGUGGGGUUCCUGUCACUGUGGGAGGUCCGAGUGAUGGAGCAGUGGGGUUCCUGUCACUGUGGGAGGUCCGAGUGAUGGAGCAGUGGGGUUCCUGUCACUGUGGGAGGUCUGGGUGAUGGAGCAGUGGGGUUCCUGUCACUGUGGGAGGUCUGGGUGAUGGAGCAGUGGGGUUCCUGUCACUGUGGGAGGUCUGGGUGAUGGAGCAGUGGGGUUCCUGUCACUGUGGGAGGUCUGGGUGAUGGAGCAGUGGGGUUCCUGUCACUGUGGGAGGUCUGGGUGAUGGAGCAGUGGGGUUCCUGUCACUGUGGGAGGUCCGAGUGAUGGAGCAGUGGGGUUCCUGUCACUGUGGGAGGUCUGGGUGAUGGAGCAGUGGGGUUCCUGUCACUGUGGGAGGUCCGAGUGAUGGAGCAGUGGGGUUCCUGUCACUGUGGGAGGUCUGGGUGAUGGAGCAGUGGGGUUCCUGUCACUGUGGGAGGUCUGGGUGAUGGAGCAGUGGGGUUCCUGUCACUGUGGGAGGUCCGAGUGAUGGAGCAGUGGGGUUCCUGUCACUGUGGGAGGUCUGGGUGAUGGAGCAGUGGGGUUCCUGUCACUGUGGGAGGUCUGGGUGAUGGAGCAGUGGGGUUCCUGUCACUGUGGGAGGUCUGGGUGAUGGAGCAGUGGGGUUCCUGUCACUGUGGGAGGUCCGAGUGAUGGAGCAGUGGGGUUCCUGUCACUGUGGGAGGUCUGGGUGAUGGAGCAGUGGGGUUCCUG